rnacentral:lncRNA from 1 species
AUCACCCUCAAGCUGGGCACUUUAGUUCUGGGUGUGGGGAUAAAAUGCUACCCCAAAUACUAAAGUCACUGACAUGAAUCCAAGUCCCUCGGCUGCCUUGUGUCCCCAGCACCCUGCGCUUGUCUAGGAGAGCUGCUGUCCCCCAAGAAACACCGGGAGACCAGCCUGGUGGUGGCUUCGUGGUGACCCCUGCAAGACCAGUCCUGCCGUUCCCAACUUGGAUUGGGGUUGUGGGACAGGGAGGGUGCUCAGCUCCUGGCCUGGGAGGAAAGGAGAACAAAAGCUUCACAUAGAUUAACAAGCUUCACACGGCCCUAGGAACACUGCGAAGCUGACUCCAGAGAAUCCCUGCACCCACACCAGGACCAGCCAUGCUUCGCCAGCCCACGGCACACCCUCUCCCCCGACUGUCACAAUGGCGUGGCCACACAGGAGGACCAGGAUGGUGACAGUGAGGGAGUGGCCAGUGGCAGUGAUGGUCCAGAUGCAGGGCCAGUGCUCACCAGGGCCUUCCUGCCACCCCCAUGCCACCUCUGUGUUGUGUGCAGAAGGAGACGAGACCAAUUACAGCCAGGAGGAAGGUGGUGGUGGAGAGAGGAGGUCCUUCCUGGACAAAGCUAUUCCCAUCAGUGGACCACACCUCUGCAGGGCCUUGGAGGGGCAGUCACUGAUGUCCUGCCUGCUUGCAAAGUCUGACAGAUCACAUGUUCACAAGAAUGGCUAACCUCUGAGCCUGCAGGCAUCAAAGAAGGAGGAUUGUAGUACCUAUGCUGCUGAAAGUUUUUUCCUUCAGCACCGCCAGAGAGCCACAACUCCCCAAGGUAGUUGGAGAGCACAUAACCCCCAGGAGGAAAGGCCUACAGCCCCUUUCAGCAGAAGUAGCUAUAGGAAGACAGAGAUCGCUUCUCGGCCUUUUGGCUAAGAUCAAGUGUGGAAGACAGAGAUCUCUGCUCCCUCAGCAGCUCAUGAAGAACUAGAUUUGUGUCUGUCAGGGGGAAAUGAGGCAGGAGACCAGGAC